AAGUCGAACGCACUCUCGUUUAGAUUGAAGGAGCUUGCUCCUGAUUGAUAAACAUUUGAGUGAGUGGCGGACGGGUGAGUAACACGUGGGUAACCUGCCCUAAAGUGGGGGAUAACAUUUGGAAACAGAUGCUAAUACCGCAUAAAACCUAACACCGCAUGGUGUAGGGUUGAAAGAUGGUUUCGGCUAUCACUUUAGGAUGGACCCGCGGUGCAUUAGUUAGUUGGUGAGGUAAAGGCUCACCAAGACCGUGAUGCAUAGCCGACCUGAGAGGGUAAUCGGCCACACUGGGACUGAGACACGGCCCAGACUCCUACGGGAGGCAGCAGUAGGGAAUCUUCCACAAUGGACGAAAGUCUGAUGGAGCAACGCCGCGUGAGUGAAGAAGGUUUUCGGAUCGUAAAACUCUGUUGUUGGAGAAGAAUGUAUCUGAUAGUAACUGAUCAGGUAGUGACGGUAUCCAACCAGAAAGCCACGGCUAACUACGUGCCAGCAGCCGCGGUAAUACGUAGGUGGCAAGCGUUGUCCGGAUUUAUUGGGCGUAAAGCGAGCGCAGGCGGUUUCUUAAGUCUGAUGUGAAAGCCUUCGGCUCAACCGAAGAAGUGCAUCGGAAACUGGGAAACUUGAGUGCAGAAGAGGACAGUGGAACUCCAUGUGUAGCGGUGAAAUGCGUAGAUAUAUGGAAGAACACCAGUGGCGAAGGCGGCUGUCUGGUCUGUAACUGACGCUGAGGCUCGAAAGCAUGGGUAGCAAACAGGAUUAGAUACCCUGGUAGUCCAUGCCGUAACGAUGAGUGCUAGGUGUUGGAGGGUUUCCGCCCUUCAGUGCCGCAGCUAACGCAUUAAGCACUCCGCCUGGGGAGUACGACCGCAAGGUUGAAACUCAAAGGAAUUUGACGGGGGCCC
rnacentral:rRNA from 2 species